rnacentral:rRNA from 1 species
AUGAACUUAGCUUGCUAAGGCCGAUGGCGACCGGCGCACGGGUGAGUAACACGUAUCCAACCUGCCGACAACACUGGGAUAGCCUUUCGAAAGAAAGAUUAAUACCUGAUGGUAUGAUGAGAUUGCAUGAUAGCAUCAUUAAAGAUUUAUCGGUGUACGAUGGGGAUGCGUUCCAUUAGGCAGUUGGCGGGGUAACGGCCCACCAAACCAACGAUGGAUAGGGGUUCUGAGAGGAAGGUCCCCACAUUGGAACUGAGACACGGUCCAAACUCC